UUGCCAAGAGAAGAGGAAAAGAAUAACACAUCUCUUUUUAUAAGAAACAAAUCAGCGUUCCGCUGGUCCAGGGGCUACAGACAGAGACUCCUUUUGCUUAUUCUCCUGCAGCCUUUCUCCCCUCUCUUGUCUGAGCUAGUAUUUCCUCCACCCUUUCAAUUUGUCACAGUUGCCUUUCCCAAAAGAGCUUUCGUUUUCUCUUGUAUCCCUGGUCUGCACUUCCUGGCCCCUUGCUUUUUUAUGAGAGGACAUUGAGGCCCUGGCAGACCAGGGAAGGGAAACAAAUGAAUGUCACGGGCCCCUCAGGGCGGAACUGUCUGGCUCCAUGAACAGAGAGGAGGCCUGGUAUCAGCGUCCACCUAGGGAGCCCUGAGACCUGGAGCUCACCCCCGCUCCUCACACUUUGAAAUUGUCUCCUUGAUGGAGACCGGGAUGUAGGGGCAAACAAAACCCGGAGCAGGACACGGAAAGAAGAGAUUCGAGACAAGCAGACAGCAUCUAACAGAACGGGGCCCGGGGAAGGAGGAAGAUGUUUGGCCUCUGAGCACCGCUUCUUCCCAAGGGAGGAAAUCUCCUCCCAGCACCUGAACUCCUGCUCAGGAUCUCAACGCGCACAGCUGCCACUCACUUCAUCAGAGCUUCCAGAGCACGAAGGAGAGAAAGGACAGCUGGACAGUGGCCAGCCCAGGCACAGAGGGAGGCCCCCGCCUUCAGCGCAGGCUGAGAGCUGGAAUCCUUGAAACGACCAGGAGCUGCAAAUGGGACCGAGCGAAACAGAAAAGACAAAUUUUAUGUCUUCACCAACCUGUGUCUCUAUAAGUCUCCUUAUGCCCAAGCGUCUGGAAAAUGGAAAGGAUUUACUGACAUGACUUGUGGGGUUAGUAUGGAAACAUAAACCUGCAAAAAUAGCGGUAGAAUUAUAAAGAAAAAAUUCCUUCAGGAAUGAUGAUUAGUCAUCUUGUUUGAAAAUUUUCCGUUGAGAAGGUUCAGUCUCUCUUUUCUUCUUGUUGCUUUUUCUUUUCAUAGCUUCAUUUACAUAGAAUUGAGGCACAAUAAAUUGCACACAUUUAAAGUGUAAAUUUGAUGAGAUUUGACAUAUGUAUACACUCGUAAAACUCUCACCACCGUCAAGAUUCUCAAUGGAUCCAUCACCCCUGGAAGUUUCCUUGUACACCUUGUACUUUGUCCUUCCCACGCAU